rnacentral:rRNA from 1 species
CCUACGGGAGGCAGCAGUAGGGAAUCUUCCACAAUGGGCGAAAGCCUGACGGAGCAACGCCGCGUGGGUGAAGAAGGUCUUCGGAUCGUAAGACCCUGUUGUUAGAGAAGAAAGUGCGUGAGAGUAACUGUUCACGUUUCGACGGUACCUAACCAGAAAGCCACGCCUAACUACGUGCCAGCAGCCGCGGGAAUACGGAGGUGGCAAGCUUUAUCCGGAUUUAUUGGGAGUAAGGGAACGCAGGCGGGAUUUUAAGUCUGAUGUGAAAGGCUUCGGAUUAACCGGAGUAGUGCACUGGAAACUUGGAGACUGGAGUGCAGAAGAGGAGAAGGGAAUUCCAGGUGUAGCGGUGAAAUGCGUAGAUAUAAGGAAGAACAUCAGUGGCGUAAGCGGUUUUCUGGGCCGUAACUGACGCUGAGGUUCGAAAGCGAGGGUAGCAAACAGGAUUAGAUACCCGAGUAGUC